rnacentral:rRNA from 1 species
AUUGAACGCUGGCGGCAUGCCUUACACAUGCAAGUCGAACGGCAGCACGGGUGCUUGCACCUGGUGGCGAGUGGCGAACGGGUGAGUAAUACAUCGGAACAUGUCCUGUAGUGGGGGAUAGCCCGGCGAAAGCCGGAUUAAUACCGCAUACGAUCUACGGAUGACAGCGGGGGACCUUCGGGCCUCGCGCUAUAGGGUUGGCCGAUGGCUGAUUAGCUAGUUGGUGGGGUAAAGGCCUACCAAGGCGACGAUCAGUAGCUGGUCUGAGAGGACGACCAGCCACACUGGGACUGAGACACGGCCCAGACUCCUACGGGAGGCAGCAGUGGGGAAUUUUGGACAAUGGGCGAAAGCCUGAUCCAGCAAUGCCGCGUGUGUGAAGAAGGCCUUCGGGUUGUAAAGCACUUUUGUCCGGAAAGAAAUACUUGGCCCUAAUACGGUCGGGGGAUGACGGUACCGGAAGAAUAAGCACCGGCUAACUACGUG